AAACUAACAAGGAUUCCCCUAGUAGCGGCGAGCGAAGCGGGAAGAGCUCAAAUUUAUAAUCUGGCACCUUCGGUGUCCGAGUUGUAAUCUCUAGAAGUGUUUUCCGCGUUGGACCGCACACAAGUCUGUUGGAAUACAGCGGCAUAGUGGUGAAACCCCCGUAUAUGGUGCGGACGCCCAGCGCUUUGUGAUACACUUUCAAUGAGUCGAGUUGUUUGGGAAUGCAGCUCAAAUUGGGUGGUAAAUUCCAUCUAAAGCUAAAUAUUGGCGAGAGACCGAUAGCGAACAAGUACCGUGAGGGAAAGAUGAAAAGCACUUUGGAAAGAGAGUUAACAGUACGUGAAAUUGUUGGAAGGGAAACGCUUGAAGUCAGACUUGCUUGCCGGAGCUUGCUUCGGUUUGCAGGCCAGCAUCAGUUUUCCGGGGUGGAUAAUGACGGUUUGAAGGUAGCAGUCUCGGCUGUGUUAUAGCUUUCCGUUGGAUACGCCCUGGGGGACUGAGGAACGCAGCGUGCUUUUUGCGAAAGACUCGU
rnacentral:rRNA from 1 species